GAUGAACGCUAGCGGCAGGCUUAACACAUGCAAGUCGAGGGGUAUUGGUUUUCGGACCAAGAGACCGGCGCACGGGUGCGUAACGCGUAUGCAAUCUACCUUUUGCAGAGGGAUAGCCCAGAGAAAUUUGGAUUAAUACCUCAUAGUAUAGUACUUUGGCAUCAAGGAACUAUUAAAGUCACAACGGCAAAAGAUGAGCAUGCGUCCCAUUAGCUAGUUGGUAAGGUAACGGCUUACCAAGGCUACGAUGGGUAGGGGUCCUGAGAGGGAGAUCCCCCACACUGGUACUGAGACACGGACCAGACUCCUACGGGAGGCAGCAGUGAGGAAUAUUGGACAAUGGGCGCAAGCCUGAUCCAGCCAUGCCGCGUGCAGGAUGACGGUCCUAUGGAUUGUAAACUGCUUUUAUACAGGAAGAAACACUCCGACGUGUCGGAGCUUGACGGUACUGUAAGAAUAAGGAUCGGCUAACUCCGUGCCAGCAGCCG
rnacentral:rRNA from 1 species